rnacentral:rRNA from 1 species
CGUACACUCCUGCGGGAGGCAGCAGUGGGGAAUAUUGGACAAUGGGCGCAAGCCUGAUCCAGCCAUGCCGCGUGAGUGAUGAAGGCCCUAGGGUUGUAAAGCUCUUUCACCGGUGAAGAUAAUGACGGUAACCGGAGAAGAAGCCCCGGCUAACUUCGUGCCAGCAGCCGCGGUAAUACGAAGGGGGCUAGCGUUGUUCGGAUUUACUGGGCGUAAAGCGCACGUAGGCGGACUAUUAAGUCAGGGGUGAAAUCCCGGGGCUCAACCCCGGAACUGCCUUUGAUACUGGUAGUCUUGAGUUCGAGAGAGGUGAGUGGAAUUCCGAGUGCAGAGGUGAAAUUCGUAGAUAUUCGGAGGAACACCAGUGGCGAAGGCGGCUCACUGGCUCGAUACUGACGCUGAGGUGCGAAAGCGUGGGGAGCAAACAGGAUUAGAAACCCCAGUAGUCCCAUGA